UACAGAGGGUGCGAGCGUUGUUCGGAAUUACUGGGCGUAAAGGGCGCGUAGGCGGCCUGCUAAGUCGAACGUGAAAUCCCUGGGCUCAACCCAGGAACUGCGUCCGAUACUGGUUGGCUUGAAUCCGGGAGAGGGAUGCGGAAUUCCAGGUGUAGCGGUGAAAUGCGUAGAUAUCUGGAGGAACACCGGUGGCGAAGGCGGCAUCCUGGACCGGCAUUGACGCUGAGGCGCGAAAGCCAGGGGAGCAAACGGG
rnacentral:rRNA from 1 species